ACAGCUCAGGUGAGAGGCCAUGCCUUGAGAUGACUGAUCCCGUGUACGCCAACACUGAAGUGAUUAAGGCUGGCACAGAUGUUGGUCAUGAAGAUGAAGUGUAUGCAAAUGUGGAGUUUCUGCAGAGCCAAGACGCUGCAGUGGAGGGGAAUCAUGGAUUUGGAUCUUUCGCAGAGCCAGAUGAAGACAUCUAUGCCAACACGGAGUAAGGGACACAGAACGGAACAGAAAGAGACAGAGCAAUACUCAGUACAGCCGAAUGAUGCCUGAUUUGGAAAAUGGUGAACUCAAGAUGAGUCCAAAAAAAAAACAAGUAAAAAAAUAUACCCAGUGAGGUCUCAUUUUACCCAAGUACAGUAUGGAGUGUUGUUUGGAAAUACGUUAAAUAUAUCAUAUGGAUAUGCGUUUCAUUGUACAUAAAGAUUGUAUAUGUAAGACUUCCGCCUUUCAAUACGUUCCAAUGUAAUUAAUCUAAUUCAGAUGUAGCACUUAGAGCACUUCCGAACCUCAGAUGGUCUUCUGCUUGUGUGUGUGUGUGUGUGUGGUGGGGGGGGGGGGGGGGGGGGUUGACAACAUAUGAAGCACCGUUCAGUUAUCAGUCAUCCACUUCCUCUUGCAUGUGUCCCCUUUUGUUCAGCAUGAUCUCACCAAAUAACUUCCAGCGAAUGACUAAUGGGAAAUCGUUAAUCGUGAAACAUAAAUGCAGGUUUAAUACCAACCUAAUGAAUAAAGCUUGCAACAGCCUAAGUCUUAAUUGAACC
rnacentral:lncRNA from 1 species